GCUCGCUGUUUAUGAAAGAAAAUUUUAAAAUGAGGCUUAAGCCAAACAGGGAUGUUGUUUUAAUUUUCUGUGUUGGCUUUCUUUGUUUCAGCCAAAUAUGCUGUGUAAGCCUCGAAAUCAUGCGAAGACAAGAGAGACAUGGAGAGGAAAAAAAACGAUGAUGUUCGAGAGGAACACUGCUCAAGCUAAACCAGCUGCCGCAGGACUGUGGCUACUCUGUGUACAGGACCAUACUGGGCUUUGUGUUUCUCAUCCCCUAUGAUGGUUGUGAUGUUAUAAAUCAGGGUGGCAACCAUUUGCUCCAGAUGUUAUGGCAAGGCAAUCCAGUAACCCUUUCUUGCCCCAUGUCAACCCAAGCCUCUCAAUCUCCUAUGGAUCCACCACUUAUCCAUCCAUCAGCUCCCACUACUGAAGCUCCAUGUACUACAGAAGCAACGUCAUCCACUGCCUCUAAGCUUCCCCCACAACAUCAGCAGCAGCAGCAGCAGCAGCAACAGUUGAUGCACUCUGACUUCGUGUACCCAGGAUACUCUAACCCUUUCAUGCCAGUGAAGGCUCCCUACCAAACUACUGAAGCUCCAACUACAGAAGCAACUUCAUCCACUGCCUCAAAGCUUCCCCCACAAGAUCAACAGCAGCAGCAACAGUUGAUGCAGCAGCAGCAACAGUAGAUGCAGCUGCAGCAGCAUCAGUUGAAGCAGCAGCAUCAGUUGAUGCAGCAGCAGCAGCAGCAGCAGCAACAGUUGAAGAAGCAGCAGCAGCAGCAAGAAUUGAUGCACGCUUACCCCAUGUACCCAGGAUACAGAAACCCUUUCAUGCCAGUAAAGGCUCCCCCUCAAACUAUUGCAGCUCCCACUACUGAAGCUCCAACUACCACAGAAGCAACUUCAUCCACUGCCUCUAAGCUUCCCCCACAAGAUCAGCAGCAGCAGCAACAGUUGAUGCAGCAGCAGCAGCAGCAGCAGCAGCAGCAGCAGCAGCAGCAGCAACAGUUGAUGCAGCAGCAGCAGCAACAGCAGCAGCAGCAGCAGUUGAUGCACUCUGACUUCAUGUACCCAGGAUACUCUAACCCUUUCAUGCCAGCUAAGGCUCCAGCAUCCACUGCUGCUCCAACGACCACUCCAUCAGAACUGCCAACAACCAGCUGCCCUCACAAAAAAUUAGUCUGCAGGAGAUGAACCCCUCAAACCUUUUUUUGCCAAGUUCCUUUAUCCCUCUGAUCUCGACCAACCGAAGGCCAAGACCAAAUCUUGGACUCGGGUAUUCUCACAGAAGGGGAACACGCCUGUUAGUCCCACAUGACAUGCUGGCUUUAUUUACUUUUAAUAAAUGUCUCCAGACCAAGAGCA
ensembl:lncRNA